rnacentral:lncRNA from 1 species
GUGUUGCUAACAUUUACGAUAGCAAAUUUCAAUUUACAAAAAAAAAAAAAAUGACGUUUUCGUCUUUUGAGCUUCUAGUCAUGAAAUCUAUGCAGCCUACUCAAUCACUUUUUAUAGCUACUGUUUACAGGCCUCCUGGGCCAUAUGCAGUGUUCCUCACUGAGUUCCCUGAAUACAUAUCGGACCUUGUAGUCAUUGCAGAUAAUAUUCUAAUUUUUGGUGACUUUAACAUUCACAUGGAAAAGUCCACAGACCCACUCCAAAAGGCUUUCGGAGCCAUCAUCGACUCAGUGGGUUUUGUCCAACAUGUCUCUGGACCUACUCACUGCCACAGUCAUACUCUGGACCUAGUUUUGUCCCAUGGAAUAAAUGUUGUGGAUCUUAAUGUUUUUCCUCAUAAUCCUGGAUUAUCAGACCACCAUUUUAUUGCGUUUGCAAUUGCAACAAAUAAUCUGCUCAGACCCCAACCAAGGAGCAUUAAAAGUCGUGCUAUAAAUUCUCAGACAACCCAAAGAUUCCUUGAUGCCCUUCCAGACUCCCUCUGCCUACCCAAGGACGUCAGAGGACAAAAAUCAGUUAACCACCUAACCGAGGAACUCAAUUUAACCUUGCGCAAUACCCUAGAUGCAGUUGCACCCCUAAAAACAAAAAACAUCUGUCAUAAGAAACUAGCUCCCUGGUAUACAGAAAAUACACGAGCUUUGAAGCAAGCUUCCAGAAAAUUGGAACGGAAAUGGCGCCACACCAAACUGGAAGUCUUCCGACUAGCUUGGAAAGACAGUACCGUGCAGUAUCGAAGAGCCCUCACUGCUGCUCGAUCAUCCUAUUUUUCUAACUUAAUUGAGGAAAAUAAGAACAAUCCGAAAUUUAUUUUUGAUACUGUCGCAAAGCUAACUAAAAAGCAGCAUUCGCAAAUGGAGGAUGGCUUUCACUUCAGCAGUAAUAAAUUUAUGAACUUCUUUGAGGAAAAGAUCAUGAUCAUUAGAAAGCAAAUUCCUCUUUAAAUCUGCGUAUUCCUCCAAAGCUCCAUUGUCCUGAGUCUGCACAACUCUGCCAGGACCUAG